rnacentral:lncRNA from 1 species
AGUUUAGAGCACCACAUCCAUCAGUCAAAUUUUGCAGGUGUAGGUUAUGCGCAUGCAUGCAUCUAUCAUUAUACCAAUCACAAGCAGAGACGAUCAAAAUACAAUUUAAAUAUAAAAACCAUUUUGUUUUGCCUGGAUCAUAGCAUUUCAAACAUAUAAAUAUAUAGUGCAAAAUAUUUAUAUCAUGUAGGAUUGGCGUACAAGGAUUCUUACCUUUUGUUGAAAA